rnacentral:rRNA from 1 species
GAUGAACGCUGGCGGCGUGCUUAACACAUGUAAGUCGAACGAACCCGUUCUUCGGAAAGGGUUAGUGGCAGACGGGUGCGUAACACGUAGGUGACCUGCCCUAGAGUGGGGAAUAAUCCCGCGAAAGCGGGACUAAUACCGCAUAUGCUCGGUGAUUCGGUUUGCCGAGUAAAGCCGAAAGGCGCUCUGGGAUGGGCCUGCGGCGGAUUAGGUAGUUGGUGGGGUAAUGGCCUACCAAGCCGAUGAUCCGUAGGGGGCGUGAGAGCGUGGCCCCCCACACUGGCACUGAGACACGGGCCAGACUCCUACGGGAGGCAG